rnacentral:tRNA from 1 species
CGGGGCAUAGCGCAGCCUGGUAGCGCAUCUGCUUUGGGAGCAGAGGGUCGGGGGUUCGAUUCCCUCUGCCCCGACCA